AGUCCCCAAAUGCAGCCCUCACAGCAGUCUCCCUUUCUGAGGUUCAAAGAACCAAGAGCCCACCCCCGGUCCUCGCUGAGGGACUCAUGCAGGUGCAGUCUCUCUGGGCGUCACCCUAUGCCCAACUCCUAGGCCUCUUCCCUCCUCACGAUCAAAACUUACCUGUCCUAUUUCCCGUGCCCUCCUACUUGCUUUCUGACCUUCAUGAAGAGUACGAGUGCCCUGUGGGCUAGUGCCACCGAUCCUAAUGGCUUAUGAUGUGUUUAUCCUCUCAGACAAGACCUGCAGAGUGUACGACACAUAACCAGCACCCAAGAAAUGUCUACCGAGGAAUUAAUGAAUGAGGGUCCCAUACUUCCCAGCCAUGUUGUUGGCAGGGAUUCACGUAGUCACAAUUCUCUGGGUAGACCUUGGGAGGUUUAAGCCAACCAGUGAUCGCCAUCAUCCUAGCCCCAGAGAUUGGCUUAGGGAUAGUGACCCAAAGCAGGCCAAUGCAAGGUGACUUUGCCAGGGGCUUCUGGGAAAGAAAUUUCCUUUCUCUGAGGAAACGUGAAUGAGGACAUCCAUAACUCAGGUGGUGUCCGGCAGCCAUCUUGUGAUCAUCUGGCAAGACAGCCCAAGAAUAAAGCCGCCACCAUGGUAGACUAAGAAGAGACAGAAAGACACUGGGUCUUCAUUGACUCGACCAGCUGUACAUGAGGCCUUACCUGAAGCUCACGUGACUUCUGCACUUCUCACUUACAUGAGAGAAUAAAGCUCUUUUUUGUUUAGACCAAAUAAACACAUGAUGCAAUUACAUAAUCCCUUGAUUCCUUUUUAUGACUGAGCUCAGAGACUAUAUUUUGUCAUUUUAAAUCACCUUUAUCUUACAGUUUAUUUAACUGAAACAAAUAAACAAACCAAAACACGCCA